AGAAUCAACGCUGGCGGCGUGCCUAACACAUGCAAGUCGAACGAGAAAGUGGAGCAAGUCCAUGAGUAAAGUGGCGCACGGGUGAGUAACACGUGACUAACCUACCCUCGAGUGGGGAAUAACCUCGGGAAACCGGGGCUAACACCGCAUAACAUCUACGGAUCAAAUGCGUAAGCAGCUUGAGGAGGGGGUCGCGGCUGAUUAGCUAGUUGGCGGGGUAAUGGCCCACCAAGGCAGUGAUCAGUAGCCGG
rnacentral:rRNA from 1 species